rnacentral:rRNA from 1 species
CCCUUAGAUGUUCUGGGCUGCACGCGCGCUACACUGAUACGUUCAACAAGUGUAACCUCCGCCGGCGGGUACUGGGGGAAAUCUUUUGAAAGCGUAUCGUGAUGGGGAUAGAUUAUUGUAAUUAUUAGUCUUCAACGAGGAAUUCCUAGUAAGCUCGGGUCAACAGCUCGUGCUGAUUACGUCCCUGCCCUUUGUACACACCGCCCGUCGCUACUACCGAUUGAAUGAUUUAGUGAGGACUUCGGACUGAGUCCAAUGCGGCUUUCGGGCUGCGUUGGUAUUUCGGAAAGAUGUCCAAACUGUAUCAUUUAGAGGAAGUAAAAGUCGUANCA